rnacentral:rRNA from 1 species
UACAGAGGUCCCAAGCGUUGUUCGGAUUCAUUGGGCGUAAAGGGUGCGUAGGUGGCGCCGUAAGUGGGGUGUGAAAUCCCGGGGCUUAACCCCGGGACUGCAUUCCAUACUGCGGUGCUUGAGGACUGGAGAGGAGACUGGAAUUUACGGUGUAGCAGUGAAAUGCGUAGAGAUCGUAAGGAAGACCAGUGGCGAAGGCGGGUCUCUGGACAGUUCCUGACACUGAGGCACGAAGGCCAGGGGAGCAAACGGG